CGGGUUUUGAUAUGGCAAUAUUAGUAGGCUAGCUGCUUGCGUAUAAAGUAGUUUAGAAGAACUGUCCCGUGAAAUUAAGGCCAAGUCCGAAGAGCGCUAUUGCAAUCUCCUGCUGACCAUAGUGAGAGAUCAAAGAGAUGUCACCGGGGCUGUAAGAGGACGGCUGAGGGCAGUCCAACCAAUCAGUGGCCAGAAGCCGAGGGUAUCCUUCUUCAGGGGUGGAGCCUGGUGCAAUCCUUGCCACCCUCCUUCGGAGUCCUCAGGAGCCAGAGCGGACCGAGGCUGAGGGAAACCCUCUUGGAGUGACAGAUCCUUAAACAGCCAAACCUGGGAACCUGUGCAUAACCGCUUGCAGUGGAGGAAGUGAAGAAGGAAGAGCCGACCAGAGUCUCUGUACAGGAACGGCCCUGACUGACACCAGUCCACCUCUGCUCACUCUCCACAUGUUCUGCCCUGCAAAAUGUAUCAAUAAGGGUCUGGUGAAUUUGCUGGCCAGUCAAGCACACCAACACCAUGGUCAUUUAACCAACUUUUGGCGGUGUGGGCAGGUGCCAAAUCCUGCUGGAAAAUGAAAUCAGCAUCUUCAAAAAGCUGGUCAGCAGAAGGAAGCAUGAAGCGCUCUGAAAUUUCUUGGUAAACGGGUGCAGUGAUGGUGGUUUUCAAAGAAGAACAAUGGACCAACACCAGCAGAUGACAUUGCACCCCAAAUCAGAACAGACAGUGGUAACUUAACACUGGACUUCAAGCAAACUGGGCUAUGAGCUUCUCCACCUUCCUCCAGACCUUCCCAGGACCUUGUUUUCUAAAUGCAAUGCAAAACUUGCUCUCAUCUGAAAAGAGGACUUUGGACCACUGGGGAACAGUCCAGUUCUUCUUCUUCUUAGCCCAGGUCACCUGCCUUUGACGUUGUCUGUGGUUCAGGAGUGGCUUAGAGGAAUACAACAACUGUAGCCUCAAGACAAACCUUGUGAAGUUCACUCAAAUUCUUCUUUUUCUUCCACACUUUUUCCUUCCACUCAACUUUGUAUUAACAUGCUUGGAUACGGCCCUCUGCGAACAGCCAGCUUCUUUGGCAAUGAAUGUUUGUGGCUUGCCGUCCUUGUAAAGGGUGUCAGUGAUUGUUUUAUGAACAACUGUCAGAUCAGCAGACUUCCCCAUGAUUGUGUAACUUAGUGAAGCAAACUGAGAGACCAUUUUGAAGGCUCAGAAAGCCUUUGCAAGUGUUUUGAGUUGAUUAGCUGUCACCA